rnacentral:rRNA from 1 species
AAUGAACGCUGGCGGCGUGCCUAACACAUGCAAGUCGGAUGUGCCGCAAGGUGCAUGGCAGACGGGUGAGUAACGCGUGGGCAAUCUACCUUUUAGUGGGGAAUAACGCUCCGAAAGGAGUGGUAAUACCGCAUGAGACCUUUGGCUGGGAUGCUGGAGGUGAAACCUGGGGACCUUCGGGCCUGGGGCUAGCAGAGGAGCCUGCGUCUGAUUAGCUAGUUGGUGGGGUAACGGCCUACCAAGGCGACGAUCAGUAGCCGGCCUGAGAGGGUGAUCGGCCACACUGGAACUGAGACACGGUCCAGACUCCUACGGGAGGCAGCAGUGGGGAAUUUUGCGCAAUGGGCGAAAGCCUGACGCAGCAACGCCGCGUGGGUGAUGAAGGUCUUCGGAUCGUAAAACCCUGUCGUUGGGGACGAAGGUGCUGUGGUGAAUAGCCAUGGUGCUUGACGGUACCCGGAGAGGAAGCCCCGGCUAACUCUGUGCCAGCAGCCGCAGUAACAC